GGUUGUGGCUCAGUGGUAGAGUGCUCGCCUAGCAUGUGUGAGGUGCUGGGUUCCAUCCUCAGCACCA
rnacentral:tRNA from 1 species